rnacentral:rRNA from 1 species
UGCCAGCAGCCGCGGUAAUACAGAGGGUGCGAGCGUUAAUCGGAAUUACUGGGCGUAAAGGGUGCGUAGAUGGUUUCGUAAGUUGGAUGUGAAAGCCCCGGGCUCAACCUGGGAACUGCAUUCAAAACUGCGUCACUAGAGUAGAAUAGAGGGGAGUGGAAUUUCCGGUGUAACGGUGAAAUGCGUAGACAUCGGAAGGAACACCAGUGGCGAAGGCGACUCCCUGGAUUCAUACUGACGUUGAGGCACGAAAGCGUGGGGAUCAAACAGGAUUAGAUA